rnacentral:rRNA from 1 species
CCCUUAGAUGUUCUGGGCCGCACGCGCGCUACACUGAUGCAUUCAACGAGCCUAGCCUUGACCGAGAGGUCCGGGUAAUCUUUGAAACUGCAUCGUGAUGGGGCUAGAUUAUUGCAAUUAUUAAUCUUCAACGAGGAAUGCCUAGUAAGCGUGAUUCAUCAAAUCGCGUUGAUUACGUCCCUGCCCUUUGUACACACCGCCCGUCGCACCUACCGAUUGAAUGGUCCGGUGAAGCCUCCGGAUUGGCGCGCACCUCGGUGCCGCCGAGAAGUUGGCUAAACCUUACCAUUUAGAGGAAGGUGAAGUCGUAACA